UACGGAAGGUGCGAGCGUUAAUCGGAAUUACUGGGCGUAAAGCGCACGUAGGUGGUUUUAUAAGUCGGAUGUGAAAGCCCCGGGCUUAACCUGGGAAUUGCAUCUGAUACUGUCUGACUAGAGUAUGCUAGAGGGAAGUGGAAUUCCAGGUGUAGCGGUGAAAUUCGUAGAUAUUCGGAAGAACACCAGUGGCGAAGGCGACAUACUGGUCCGUUACUGACGCUGAGGCUCGAAAGCGUGGGGAGCAAACAGG
rnacentral:rRNA from 1 species